UCCUGUUGAAACUGUGCCGUUGUAUAUUUCAUACCAAUCAGAUUGAUUGACCUUUUUGCUUGCCAUGUCACCACUCUUUCAAAAUUGCCAUGUUGUGGAGAGACAUGAUAAUGGCUGACUCUCAUCAUAAGAACAAAUAUGGCUCUGAUUGCCUUUUUGUCUUCCAGAAAAACGGAGGACUGCAUAAGCACUGUUUGAUAGUGCACAAGCCUAUUUCCAGCAACAGCAGAUUAUGACAACUGGUACAGAUGAAGUUGCUAUAGGACUGGAAGGCUCUGUGGGGAAAGAAACACAUUUUGUAAAAGAGGAGUCUGUACAGAGAUUUCAUUUCUUUGCCGUUAGACAUCUAUAUGAUCUUCCUUUCUGCUCAAUUUCCUGAUCGCUAUUACAUGAUCCAACCGAAACAGUGUGCAGCCGGGGGACCACUGGUGCUUAUGGGUUUCCAGACGACUACAGAGCAAGAGUUUGGUCCUGAGCUGCUGGCAGAUCUGAACAACAAUCGCAAGGAGGAGGGUACCAGGUGGUGGUAAGCUGGCCCAAGUGAUCCCAGAAAUGUAAACAAGAUACCAUGGUUGCAGCAGAAGAUAUAUUACAAUUUGUUUGUAAGUUAAGAUCAAGAAAUAC
rnacentral:lncRNA from 1 species